rnacentral:misc_RNA from 1 species
GCAAACUUGGUCAUUUAGAGGAAGUAAAAGUCGUAACAAGGUUUCCGUAGGUGAACCUGCGGAAGGAUCAUUAGAAAUGCGUUAGCCCACGAUUAGGUUAACUGCCAGUGGGGUCCUGAACCCCGCGUGUGAGGAGCAAUCCUUGCUUAGGGCUACAUGCUUUACCCGUGAAUAUCUUCUCUGUUGCCUUGGUGGGGUGCGUUCGCGCGGCGUCCCCGCCAAAGGCCCUAAACUCUGCUGUUUGGUGCACAUCUAAGCCCCUAAAGAAUACAUUAAAACUUUUAACAACGGAUCUCUUGGUUCUGGCAUCGAUGAAGAACGCAGC